rnacentral:rRNA from 1 species
AUUGAACGCUGGCGGCAUGCCUUACACAUGCAAGUCGAACGGUAACGCGGGGCAACCUGGCGACGAGUGGCGAACGGGUGAGUAAUGCAUCGGAACGUGCCCAGUAGUGGGGGAUAGCCCGGCGAAAGCCGGAUUAAUACCGCAUACGACCUACGGGUGAAAGCGGGGGACCGUAAGGCCUCGCGCUAUUGGAGCGGCCGGUGUCAGAUUAGGUUGUUGGUGGGGUGAAAGCCUACCAAGCCGACGAUCUGUAGCUGGGUUGAGAGGACGACGAGCCACACUGGGACUGAGACACGGCCCAGACUCCUACGGGAGGCAGCAGUGGGGAAUUUUGGACAAUGGGGGCAACCCUGAUCCAGCCAUGCCGCGUGCAGGAAGAAGGCCUUCGGGUUGUAAACCGCUUUUGUAAGGGAAGAAACGCUCUGGGCUAAUACCCCGGGGUAAUGACGGUACCUGAAGAAUAAGCACCGGCUAACUACGUGCCAGCAGCCGCCGUAACAC